UUGAUCCUGGCUCAGAAUCAACGCUGGCGGCGUGCCUAACACAUGCAAGUCGAACGCGAAAGUGGAGCAAUCCAUGAGUAGAGUGGCAAACGGGUGAGUUACGCGUGGGUGACCUGCCUUCGAGUGGGGGAUAACGUUCCGAAAGGGACUCUAAUACCGCAUGACAUCCGGCCUUUGAAGAGGCGGAGAUCAAAGCUGGUGAUCGCAAGACCUAGCGCUCGAUGAGGGGCCCGCGUCUGAUUAGCUAGUUGGUGGGGUAACGGCUCACCAAGGCAACGAUCAGUAUCCGGCCUGAGAGGUCGGACGGACACACUGGGACUGAGACACGGCCCAGACUCCUACGGGAGGCUGCAGUGGGGAAUUGUUCGCAAUGGGCGCAAGCCUGACGACGCAACGCCGUGUGGAGGAUGAAGAUCUUCGGGUCGUAAACUCCUUUCGAUCGAGACGAAUAGCCUUCGGGUAAACAAUCCGGAGGUCUGACGGUACCGAGAGAAGAAGCUCCGGCUAACUCCGUGCCAGCAGCCGCGGUAAUAAGGU
rnacentral:rRNA from 1 species